rnacentral:rRNA from 1 species
UACGUAGGGUGCAAGCGUUGUCCGGAAUUAUUGGGCGUAAAGAGCUCGUAGGCGGCUUGUCGCGUCUGCUGUGAAAUCCCGGGGCUCAACCCCGGGCCUGCAGUGGGUACGGGCAGGCUAGAGUGCGGUAGGGGAGAUUGGAAUUCCUGGUGUAGCGGUGGAAUGCGCAGAUAUCAGGAGGAACACCGAUGGCGAAGGCAGAUCUCUGGGCCGUAACUGACGCUGAGGAGCGAAAGCAUGGGGAGCGAACAGG